UACGUAGGGUGCGAGCGUUAAUCGGAUUUACUGAGCGUAAAGCGUGCGCAGGCGGCCCGUUAAGACAGGUGUGAAAUCCCUGGGCUCAACCUAGGAAUUGCGCUUGUGACUGGCGGGCUCGAGUACGGUAGAGGGGGGUGGAAUUCCUGGUGUAGCAGUGAAAUGCGUAGAGAUCAGGAGGAACACCGAUGGCGAAGGCAGCCCCCUGGGCCUGUACUGACGCUCAUGCACGAAAGCGUGGGGAGCAAACAGG
rnacentral:rRNA from 1 species